GUUUUCAUUGCCUACGUUGAAAACAUCGAUUCUCGUCCGAUCACCGAAGUUAAGCAACGUCGGGCCCGGUCAGUACUUGGGAGGGUGACCACCUGGGAACACCGGGUGCUGUAGGCU
rnacentral:rRNA from 1 species